CUGGUGUGUUCAGAGCAGGUGUCUCUCAGACCAUAGACACCUGUUUAUACCACACCAUACAACAGCAGGAGUCUAGAAGA
ensembl:snoRNA